AUGAAGACGAGUGUACAGGUGGAGUGACAAUACUGGAAGAUGAAUACGGGAAUCAGUUUAAAACUGUAACCCUUGAUGAAGUUGUCCUCCCAUUUGAAAUACUGAAAGUUGGAGCAGAAAAAAGACUUUCUUAUGUAAAGAAUUUUCAUUAUGAGGAUGGCGAUGUUCUCUUAUGUAGCUAUCCGAAAACAGGUACCCACUGGACAGCAAACUUGUUACAUUAUUUAAUGUAUGAUGGACCACUGGAUGAUCUUGUUUCACAUCCGCCCUGUCUUAUAGAUCUCUUUGAUAUGGAUUCGGUGCAACAGCGAGAUGGCAGACGAAUUGUAACAUCACAUUUCCCGCCCAAAAAUCUACCAACCGAACAUUUUGAAAAGGGCGGGAAAACAGUUCUGGUGUUCCGUAAUCCCAAAGAUGCAGCCGUUUCGAUGUAUCAUCAAUUAAUAAGAUUCAAAAUGUUAAGUGAAUGUAAACUAUCCUGGAAAAGUUACAUUGAUUUCUGGGUUGAUGGGAAAAGUAAACAACUUUAAAUGAUAAUUUAACAACAAAUGUAAUCAAUUAAGAAGAACUUUAUAAAAAUCUUAAUCAGAAAUUUAUUGUCACAAGAUAUCAAACUUUAAGAAUAUUCAGUCUAAAAAGAUCAAAAUAAAUUGUGCACAAUUCAAUUUAAAUUAGUAUACGCUGGCACGAGAGUUUAAGCACUUAUUUAUUUAGUUCAAAAAACCUUUCUCGAUGUCUAACUUUUUUAACUGAUUCAGUAAUAAUUAUCUAAAUCUGAAUUUCAGUGUUGAUGGGGUUUUGUUUUACUACUUCAACAAGUGGCAAAGGUUGUUAGAGGAGAAACCAUGUCUUGAUGUACUAAUCGUCCAAUAUAUGAAUACCUGAAAAUGGAUAGUCUAAAUCAGUUACGUCGAAUUCAGACUUACCCCUUGGACUCAGCCAUUCUAACGAAAGACUUCAAGCCGUUUUAGAUAAAUGUUCGCUAGGCAAUCUCAGGGCUGAUGUAGAAAAUGGUAAAGUUAAAACAGUACUAAUUGAUGAAUCAGGAAAAUCAAUUCUCUAUAGGAAAGGGAUAAUCGGGGACUGGAAGAACCAUGUUACUGUUGCACAGAAUGAGAAAAUAGAAGCCGUGGCUGGUGCUAAAUUUAAGAACAGCAUAUUUCACUACAAAGCUUGGGUUUGUUUACAUAAGCUUAUUAUACAUUGAUUCGGUCUAUUCUAUUGGAAUUUUGAACAACAAUGUUGAAUCAAGUUACUCAAGUACUAAAAGGCAAUGUACCUCUGCCUGAAACUUUAUCCAAUACUUUAUAAACUCAAACAUUGGUGUCUGACAAAACAAAUUAAAUUUAAAACGCAGAUAACUACAGGGGAUGGGGGCGGAGUAAACAAACGUUGUAUAUUCAUAGUUUGUACAUAUAUUCUAAUACAUAAUCUACCAGUUACAAUUUUCAUUGUUUGAAUACAAAAAUAUAUACUUCAUUUACACGAACAGAACAAACCAUGUAUGUCUGACUAGAAACCUGUCAACUUUAAAUGUAAAUGUACUUACACAUUGAUGUCUUUUGUAUAUCAGCACAUAAAAAAUGUGUACACAAACGAUGAUGGAGUGGAACUUUUUUGUACAAGUUUACAGUUUACUGUUUCUUUACUGAAUAGUUGUUUCUUUUCAAAGUUUAUCUUUUCUAUUAAUAACUUAUUUGUCUGCUUUUGUUUCUGUUAAUAUGCUCAGAAUAUAUGGAUCUGUAAGUGAGUAAUUUAAAAGACUCCGAAACAGAUAUACAUUAUAACAACAACAGCAGCAGCAGGAACAACAGCAUCACACCGAUGUCUCCUUGUGCAAGAAACGCUACACACAUUGCUCAGUACUGGUUGGUUCCAGGAACAGAUACGAGAGUGUAUCUAUAGGUUUAUAAAUAUCUACACAAUCGAACUAAUAUAAAUUAUGUAUGAACAGAAAAAUAACGAUAGGAUUCUUAAAUGUAUAAAUAUGUACUCACAUGCUCUUCUAUAAUGUCUUUUUUGCGAUCCCUUGCUGAUGUGCGAGUAAGCACGUUUUUAUCUGAAUAUACAUGUAGAUAAAUUAAAAGCAUGGACGAGAAGCAUGCAGCUGAUGAAAAAGACUCUGAGAAAGUUUCCACUGGGCAGUAUAACUAUUCGGAUUCAUUUUUCAUUUUUUUCAUUGAUUUAAGUUCGAGUUUAACCAACGAUAAGGAAGGCCAGUUUAACUCCUCUUUGAUUGAAAUGCAUGGAAUACAACCUUAUUUAUAUAAUGAAAUUA